UUCCUUUUCUGAUACCUCGCCCUGCAGGAAGCACCAUCGUCAUGACACACUGGCUCGCGCAUUGCAUGAUAUUCAUCGCACGUUCUCUACUGUUUGAUGCUGGUGCUUGCUCGCUGUUCUACAUCUGCUUGUCUUCCAAGAAGUGCGCUGCUAACCAGGACUGCCCCAGAGGACGCCAAACAGGCGCACGAACAUCACGUGAUGAUCUACUGUGCCAUCCUGUCGGGGAUCAUCGCCGCCAUAUUGGCUGCCGUAGUAUCCAUCAAGCUUCUACUUCCAAAACACGAGACACCACAUCAAGACACCUUCCUUACUUGUGACACCCCCGCCUGCCUCACAUAUGCCCACAUGGUCACAAGGUUACUCGACCACUCUGCGGACUCAUGCACGGACUUCAAUAUCUUCAUCGCGCGCAAUACUGCGCAAUAUCAACAAGAUUUCCUGUAAAUGUAUUAUUCCUGAAUUAUAGAAUACGUUGUCUGUCGCAACUUUCA